AUGGAGAGCGGCAGCACGGCGGCGUCCAGCGACGAGACCGUGAGAUCGCCCGGCGGGACGACGGCGGUGGCGGCCGCCCGGCCGUACUACGAGUGCGUGUUCUGCAAGCGCGGGUUCACCACGGCGCAGGCGCUGGGCGGGCACAUGAACAUCCACCGCCGGGACCGCGCCAAGCCCGCCCGCCUCACCACGUCCGUUGCCCGGAACACAGAGUGCAACCUGGCGUACCCCCCAGCGCCGCCGGCCACGUCCCUGAUGAGCAGCGGCGACUUCGCCAUGCUGUACUACGGCCGGCACACCGGCGCCGGAGCGGACGCCGAGGCCGUGAGCCCUGGUAGCCCGAUCCCGAGGGAGCUGAGCCUGUUCGGCGCGGACGACGACAGUCCCGACGACCCUGACGACUGCUUGGAACUGGGCCUUCGGUGCCACGGAAGCAGCAGCGGCGACGGGUCGGCGCGGCGGCAGGACGGCGAGCUGCCGGAGAGGAAGCUGGACUUGGAGCUGAGGCUCGGGCUCGGGCCUCGUCCGAGGCACUGA
rnacentral:rRNA from 1 species